rnacentral:rRNA from 1 species
UACGUAGGUGGCAAGCGUUGUCCGGAUUUAUUGGGCGUAAAGCGCGCGUAGGUGGUUCGUUGCGUCCGAGGUGAAAUCUCCCGGCUCAACUGGGAGGGGUCUUCGGAUACGGGCGGACUUGAGGAGAGCAGAGGUAGGCGGAAUGCUGGGUGUAGUGGUGAAAUGCGUAGAUAUCCAGCGGAACACCAGUGGCGAAGGCGGCCUACUGGGCUCCACCUGACACUGAGGCGCGAAAGCGUGGGGAGCGAACCGG